GAUCGAUCACUCGGGAGUCAUUUUUUGGACGAUAAGCCUUAUACGAAUGAAUACUCAAAUUUGUUACAUGAAACACAUCUUUUAGAUGUCCAUGCUCACUAAAUAGUUAUGUUAAGCUUUUUUAAAGUUCUGAAGGCUUGUAAAUAUUUGUAAGGGCAUGUAAAUUCAACAAAAAAGAACGAUUGUUUGAACACAACAUCGUGCUGUAAUCUAGACUGCAAAAACAUCUUUAAAAAGGGGCAUCAAAAC